GAGUUAGUGAUCCGGUGGUUCCGAGUGGAAGGGCCAUCGCUAAACGGAUAAAAGGUACUCCGGGGAUAACAGGCUUAUCUCCCCCAAGAGCUCAUAUCGACGGGGAGGUUUGGCACCUCGAUGUCGGCUCGUCACAUCCUGGAGGUGAAGACGCUUCCAAGGGUUGGGCUGUUCGCCCAUUAAAGUGGCACGCGAGCUGGGUUUAGAACGUCGUGAGACAGUUCGGUCCCUAUCCUCUAUGAUCGUAGGAAAUUUGAAGGAAUCUGCUCUUAGUACGAGAGGACCGGAGUGGACGAACCUCUAGUGUACCUGUUGUUGUAUCAACAGCAUCGCAGGGUAGCUAUGUUCGGCAGGGAUAAGCGCUGAAAGCAUAUAAGUGCGAAGCCCAUCCUAAGAUAAGAUUUCCCUUCUCUUAUGAGACUAAAGACUUCCAGAAGACUACUGGAUUGAUAGGCUACAGAUGUAAGUGCAGUAAUGUAUUUAGUCGAGUAGUACUAAUUAGUCGUGAGACUUGAUCAA
rnacentral:rRNA from 1 species